AUCUCCUGCGGGCUGGACUUCGGGUGGGCGCUCUUGAGCAGCGCCGCGACGCCCGCGACGUGCGGGGUCGCCAUGGAGGUGCC
rnacentral:tRNA from 1 species